rnacentral:rRNA from 1 species
UACAUGUGGGGCAAGCGUUGUUCGGAAUUACUGGGCAUAAAGGGUGCGUAGGCGGCUUGUUAAGUCAGGGGUGAAAGUUUUCGGCCCAACCGGAAAAUUGCCUUUGAUACUGGCGAGCUCGAGUGCGUGAGGGGUAACCGGAACGAGUGGUGUAGCGGUGAAAUGCGUAGAUAUCACUCGGAAGGCCAAAGGCGAAGGCAGGUUACUGGUACGCAACUGACGCUGAGGCACGAAAGCGUGGGGAUCAAACAGG